GGCCCCGUGGCGCAAUGGCAGCUCGUCUGACUCCAGAUCAGAAGGCUGAGUGUUCGAGUCACUUCGGGGUCA
rnacentral:tRNA from 1 species